rnacentral:rRNA from 1 species
AGGAUUAACGCUGGCGGCGUGCCUAACACAUGCAAGUCGAACGAGGUAGCAAUACCUAGUGGCAGACGGGUGAGUAACGCGUGGUCAACCUACCGUUGAGUGGGGGAUAACUAGCCGAAAGGUUAGCUAAUACCGCAUACGUCUCCGAGGGGCAUCCCUUGGCGAUAAAAGGAGCAAUCCGCUCGAUGACGGGACCGCGUCCCAUUAGCUAGAUGGUGGGGUAACGCCUACCAUGGCACCGAUGGGUAGCUGGUUUGAGAGAGCGACCAGCCACACUGGGACUGAGAAACGGCCCAGACUCCUACGGGAGGCAGCAGUGAGGAAUUUUCCGCAAUGGGCGCAAGCCUGACGGAGCGACGCCGCGUGUGGGAAGAAGGCCUUCGGGUCGUAAACCACUGUCGAAGGGGACGAUAAUGACGGUACCCUUGGAGGAAGCCCGGCUAACUACGCGCCAGCAGCCGC